AUUGAACGCUGGCGGCAUGCUUUACACAUGCAAGUCGAGCGGCAGCGCGGGGGGCAACCCUGGCGGCGAGCGGCGAACGGGUGAGUAAUGCAUCGGAACGUAUCCUGUAGUGGGGAAUAACUCACCGAAAGGUGAGCUAAUACCGCAUAAGCUCUGAGGAGGAAAGCGGGGGGACCGAAAGGCCUCGCGCUGCAGGAGCGGCCGAUGUCCGAUUAGCUAGUUGGUGAGGUAAAGGCUCACCAAGGCGACGAUCGGUAGCUGGUCUGAGAGGAUGAUCAGCCACACUGGGACUGAGACACGGCCCAGACUCCUACGGGAGGCAGCAGUGGGGAAUUUUGGACAAUGGGGGAAACCCUGAUCCAGCCAUGCCGCGUGAGUGAAGAAGGCCUCGGGUUGUAAAGCUCUUUCGGUACGGAACGAAAUUAGCUUGGACGUAAUACUCUGAGUAGAUGACGGUACCGUAAGAAGAAGCACCGGCUAACUACGUGCCAGCAGCCGCGGUAA
rnacentral:rRNA from 1 species